rnacentral:rRNA from 1 species
ACGCUCGACACCUACGGGAGCAGCAGUCGGGAAUAUUGCGCAAUGGAGGAAACUCUGACGCAGUGACGCCGCGUAUGGGAAGAAGGUUUUCGGAUUGUAAACCAUUUUAGACAAGGAAGAAACAAGACAGUACUUGUAGAAUAAGCUCCGGCUAACUACGUGCCGGCAGCCGCGGUAAUCUGAGCGGGCUGGCAAGGC